rnacentral:rRNA from 1 species
GAUGAACGCUGGCGGCGUGCCUAAUACAUGCAAGUCGAGCGAACAGAUGAGGAGCUUGCUCCUCUGACGUUAGCGGCGGACGGGUGAGUAACACGUGGAUAACCUACCUAUAAGACUGGGAUAACUUCGGGAAACCGGAGCUAAUACCGGAUAAUAUAUUGAACCGCAUGGUUCAAUAGUGAAAGACGGUUUUGCUGUCACUUAUAGAUGUAUCCGCGCCGCAUUAGCUAGUUGGUAAGGUAACGGCUUACCAAGGCGACGAUGCGUAGCCGACCUGAGAGGGUGAUCGGACACACUGGAACUGAGACACGGUCCAGACUCCGACGGGAGGCAGCAGUAGGGAAUCUUCCGAAAUGGGCGAAAGCAUGACGGAGCAACGCCGCGUGAGUGAUGAAGGUCUUCGGAUCGUAAAACUCUGUUAUUAGGGAAGAACAAAUGUGUAAGUAACUAUGCACGUAUUGACGGUACCUAAUCAGAAAGCCACGGCUAACUACGUG